AAAUUGAAGAGUUUGAUCAUGGCUCAGAUUGAACGCUGGCGGCAGGCCUAACACAUGCAAGUCGAGCGGAAACGAGUUAUCUGAACCUUCGGGGAACGAUAACGGCGUCGAGCGGCGGACGGGUGAGUAAUGCCUAGGAAAUUGCCCUGAUGUGGGGGAUAACCAUUGGAAACGAUGGCUAAUACCGCAUGAUGCCUUUGGGCCAAAGAGGGGGACCUUCGGGCCUCUCGCGUCAGGAUAUGCCUAGGUGGGAUUAGCUAGUUGGUGAGGUAAGGGCUCACCAAGGCGACGAUCCCUAGCUGGUCUGAGAGGAUGAUCAGCCACAC
rnacentral:rRNA from 1 species